UAGUGCAGUCUCAGACUUCAAGUUUCUUUGGUCCACUAAGAAAAUUAGCAACUGUCAUGCAAAUACAAGACAUGAUGACUAUUAUCAUAUCUUGCCAUCCGCAUUCAACAUCCAUUUACUGAGAAUUUCAACCCACUUAAACCAAGCCUGAAGACAUCAGCUGUUCUCUGAAAAGAAUGUCCAUGCAACUCUGGCGCAAAUACCUCUGGGUAUGGGUGAUAGUUGGGAUUAUUUUUGCAUCUGGGAUUAUCAUCCUCGUCUUCAUCAUCAUCAACAAGUGCAUAUCAAGAAAAGGAAAACACAGAAUCUCACAGCUUCACAGGAGACCUUCUGACUUCUCUGCCCAGAGCAACAAAUACCAGGCAGGAAGUCCUAAAGUCAUCAUACCACCCUUACCUUCGCGG